CAGUAGCCACGGGAAUACGAGGGGAGCUAGCGUUGUUCGGAAUUACUGGGCGUAAAGCGCGCGUAGGCGGCUUUUUAAGUCAGAGGUGAAAGCCCGGGGCUCAACCCCGGAAUUGCCUUUGAAACUGGAAAGCUAGAAUCUUGGAGAGGUCAGUGGAAUUCCGAGUGUAGAGGUGAAAUUCGUAGAUAUUCGGAAGAACACCAGUGGCGAAGGCGACUGACUGGACAAGUAUUGACGCUGAGGUGCGAAAGCGUGGGGAGCAAACAGGAUUAGAUACCCCCGUAGUCCCUGUCUCUUAUAC
rnacentral:rRNA from 1 species